AUUGCAUCAUAUAUUUGAUGAUUAAUUGUGACCUUGGUGAACUUUGAAAUUGUCCCAAUUCUUUUUCUAUAAUGUUGUCCUUCAACUGUAGAUCAUUUAUCAUUUAACAGAUUUGAGAUAUCUAUUGUCGUUUUAGAGAUAAUGCAGUUUGAAGUUUUGCGAGCGGAGGCAUGUAUUUCUGAAUCAACAAGAGCUUACCACUUAAAAUGUUUUAGAAAUUGAAGAGGUUAACAUAGUUAUAUGUUUGACCCAAAUACCAAAAACAUUCCAUGGAAAAAAACGCCAAAAAUUCAAUUUGAAAUUUUCAAGUUUUGCAUUGACUUUGUAAGUUUCAUAACUUCUAUUUAUAUAGUUGAUAUUGCAUCAUUAUUUGCACUUUGUCAAAUGGGGUCAUC
rnacentral:lncRNA from 1 species